UCAGAAGUGUUCUGGAAUCUUGUUUCCCGCCCUGAAAUAAGUUGAUGGCAGUUAUGGCAUGGGCUGAUCUACCCAGUCAGCAAGGCCAGAUUGCAGAGAAACUCAGAGUCUAGGAAAAUGAAUGUCUAGGAACAUUCCUCAAAUAGUCCUACCAGAAGACACAAAGAUGAUGCAUCCGGAUGAAGAAUAUAUCACUGAGAUUAAUGGCCCUGGGUUGCAGCCAAAAGCAUCUCAGAGGUAGAACACUGUUGCAGAUGGUGAUGUUACCAUUUGAAAGUAAGAAGAAAACUAGUAUCUCUUUACACCAAGAGUAAAAAUAGAGAAGAUGCUUACAAACUGCAACACAUAGAGUUUCUUGAAAUCACAGUUUGGGAGUGGAGGAAAAGGCUGCUUAAGUGUUUGGAAAGGGAGAGUAAGGAUGAAAUAGAGUGGGGGUAUGAUGCAUUUCCUGACUGUGGUCGGCUUUCCAUGGGUGAAACAGAAAAGUCUUCAAAUAUCCUCACCAACUGCUUUCCUAGAUUUUUCAGCCAGUUACUUGACCAUAUUAGGAAAAGAAAGCAUACUACACCCAUCUCAGAGCUGGCCUCUUGAGGUAGCCACACCGCCACAGGAACCAUUGUAAUCUCUGCAUCAAGUUCAAGUUCACAAAUAAGCAAAGAGGUGUGUACUACUAUUUGACACUUAGGUGUAUUGGAGCACAAUUUGACAUGAGUAAGGUUAUUAAGGUUUACAUUUAUUUUCUUAAUUGUGUUCAAAUGUAAUUCCUUUAAGUUCCUGGAAGAAACACUUUUUAUUUAUAUUGGUAUAAACUAUGUGGAAGUUUUUAGAGGAAAUUUAAUACUGUGUAAAGUGAAAUAAAAUCAUUUUUACCUUCACUGCCUUAAAAGAGACAUAAAAAAUAUAAAUCUAAUUUAGAAGUUUCAAUAGUUUAUUAGUUUUACCUAUUUAAGCUAAAUUCCUUAAAUGUAGUUUUUCUUUUGGGAGGAAACAUUGUUUUGUGUGUGAUGAACACUUAGAUAACUUUCAAGAAGGAUAUAAAACUGAUAUAUAUCUUCACUCGCUUGCCAGAUAAAAUAAGAAAUUUCUAUUCAUGUUCAUUGACUCAUUUAUUUUUUUGGUUAAAUUCUGUUUACUUAUGUCAUUUGUUUUAAGUUUUUAUUAAGGUGACAACAAAUUUCAAACUGACAGCAUUUAAAAUAAAUAUUCACCAUUGCCAACAUAGCUUUUUAAGAGUCUGCAAAUAGAAAGAAAGGUAAUUUUUUUCUGUAUUUUCCAGACUUGUGACAAAGAGCUAGGUGAAAACAGGGGAAAAAGGAGGAAAAUAAAGAAGCACCAGACUAAACCUGAAGAAAGGGGACAUUUAAAAAUUCUUCCUUUUGUGUUCAGAGCUCACAACAUAGAAAAAGAUAUGGUUAAAAAAAAGUCGUGAUGCUCAUAAAAAGCAACAUUUUAUUUUCAAGCCAAUUACAUUAAUUAUACAAUUACCUUGUAGCCAGUAAGAAUCACAUAUAUAUGAAAGCAAAAUAUUGUUUAAUUGAAUAAAACAAUCUGAUACAUAUGCCCAAAAAACAAUAGAGUAAAUAAGAGUUUUCCCAACAGUGGCAAAGAGAAUAAUUUUCAUGUUGAGUUUUAUUGAUCUCCGGAACAGUAGCUCCCCUGAGCAGAGAACCAUAACAGAAUUAAGGAAAGAUAUUUCCAUUCCAGAGACCAGACAUUUGGAGGACAUAAUUGAUUCUGAGAGAAAUUUCUCCAAGGAUUCCUGCAGUUCUCCUUUGAACAUACGAAGAGGGAACAUUCUUUCAGUCCUAGAAGUUGCUGAAGCAGAGAUGGAGAACCCCAGACUGGAGGGCUUUGAUUUCACCCUGCACAUCUAAGGGCAUAAAUUGGUUCCAGGUCAGGAUCAUAUGAGCAUAAGUCUGAGUUGGGUGUCUCUGAUCAUUCCAGAAUUCCAUUGGAAGGCAGACUUAUAUUCCUGAGAAGCAGGAAUGAGAAGCACAGUGGAAUUUUGCAAAGGAAACAGAACUUGAACUCAGCAGUCGUAGGUGCCAGUCCUUGACUAGCUAUAAUAUUGGGCAAGUCAUAUAAAUUCUCCAGGCACAGUGUCCCUUUUGGCAAACAACAGACAGAAUAUAAAUAUGUGUUGCCAGGUCAGUGGACAUUUCAAGGACAGUUUGAUUUUAAUGUGAAGUCAUCUAAUUUUAAAUGCUCUAUUAAAUUUUAUUUUUUUUAGUUGUAUAAGCUUAAGAACAGGUAUCAGACAAGACUUCUU
rnacentral:lncRNA from 1 species